rnacentral:rRNA from 1 species
CCAAUAGCGUAUAUUAAAGUUGUUGUAGUUAAAAAGCUCGUAGUUGAACUUCGGAGUUCACCCAUUGGUCAGGCUUAAUUGUCUGCACUGGUGAGAUGAGUCUCUACCUUCUGAGGAACUUUCAUGUCAUUUAUUUGGUGUGAUUGGAAAUCAGGACUGUUACUUUGAAAAAAUUAGAGUGUUUAAAGCAGGCUAACGUCUGAAUACAUUAGCAUGGAAUAAUGAAAUAGGACGGACUGAUUCUAUUUCGUUGGUUUCUAGGAUCACCGUAAUGAUUAAUAGGGAUAGUUGGGGGCAUUAGUAUUCAAUUGUCAGAGGUGAAAUUCUUGGAUUUAUUGAAGACUAACUACUGCGAAAGCAUUUGCCAAGGAUGUUUUCAUUAAUCAAGAACGAAAGUUAGGGGAUCGAAGACGAUCAGAUAUCGUCGUAGUCUUAACCAUAAACUAUGCCGACUAGGGAUCGGACGAAGUUAAUUUUAUAAUGACGCGUUCGGCACCUUACG